rnacentral:tRNA from 1 species
UCCUUGGUGGUCCAGUGGUAGGACUCUAUGCUCUCAAUGCAGGGGGCACAGGUUUGAUACCUGUUCAAGGAA